rnacentral:rRNA from 1 species
UGAGACCUCAGGUCAGGCGGGAUUACCCGCUGAGUU